AGCUCCAAUAGCGUAUAUUAAAGUUGUUGCAGUUAAAAAGCUCGUAGUUGGAUUUCUGUCUUUUGACGGCCCGUGGAGAUUUCCAUUGAGGUAGUCGGGGACAUUUUCUAGACAGGCUGUGAAAACAGAAUGUUCUAGAGCCUUUACUUUGAGAAAAUUAGAGUGUUUCAAGCAAGCGUUUGCUUUGAAUACUACAGCAUGGAAUAAUAUUAUAGGACUUCUAUCCUAUUUGUUGGUUUACGGACUGAAGUAAUGAUUAAUAGGAACAGUCGGGGGCAUUCGUAUUUGACAGUCAGAGGUGAAAUUCAUAGAUUUGUCAAAGACGAACUACUGCGAAAGCAUUUGCCAAGGAUGUUUUCA
rnacentral:rRNA from 1 species